rnacentral:rRNA from 1 species
GGACCCGCACAAGCAGAGGAGGAUGUGGUUUAAUAUGACGCUACGCGUAGAACCUUACCGAGGCUUGACAUCCCUAGAACCCGCUGGAAACAGUGGGGUGUCUUCGGAAGCUAGGUGACAGGUGCUGCAUGGCCGUCGUCAGCUCGUGUCGUGAGAUGUUGGGUUAAGUCCCGCAACGAGCGCAACCCUUAUCGUAUGUUGUAUUUCUCAUGCGAGACUGCCCGGGCCAACCGGGAGGAAGGUGGGGAUGACGUCAGGUCGGCAUGGCCCUUACGCCUCGGGCCACACACGUCCUACAAUGGCCGGUACAACGCGCCGCGAAGCCGCGAGGCGGAGCUAAUCGCACCAAAACCGGUCUCAGUUCGGAUUGCAGGCUGCAACUCGCCUGCAUGAAGUCGGAUUUGCUAGUAAACGUGGGUCAGCACACCGCGUUGAAUACGUUCCCGGGUCUU